rnacentral:rRNA from 1 species
GACGUAGGGCGCGAGCGUUGUCCGGAUUUAUUGGGCGUAAAGAGCUCGUAGGCGGCUUGUCGCGUCGACCGUGAAAACUUGUGGCUCAACCACAAGCUGGCGGUCGAUACGGGCAGACUUGAGUUCGGUAGGGGAGACUGGAAUUCCUGGUGUAGCGGUGAAAUGCGCAGAUAUCAGGAGGAACACCGGUGGCGAAGGCGGGUCUCUGGGCCGAUACUGACGCUGAGGAGCGAAAGCGUGGGGAGCGAACAGGAUUA